rnacentral:rRNA from 1 species
CAUAGGUUAAUGAGGCGAACCGGGGGAACUGAAACAUCUAAGUACCCCGAGGAAAAGAAAUCAACCGAGAUUCCCCCAGUAGCGGCGAGCGAACGGGGAGCAGCCCAGAGCCUGAAUCAGUGUGUGUGUUAGUGGAAGCGUCUGGAAAGGCGCGCGAUACAGGGUGACAGCCCCGUACACAAAAAUGCACAUACUGUGAGCUCGAUGAGUAGGGCGGGACACGUGGUAUCCUGUCUGAAUAUGGGGGGACCAUCCUCCAAGGCUAAAUACUCCUGACUGACCGAUAGUGAACCAGUACCGUGAGGGAAAGGCGAAAAGAACCCCGGCGAGGGGAGUGAAAAAGAACCUGAAACCGUGUACGUACAAGCAGUGGGAGCCUCUUUAUGGGGUGACUGCGUACCUUUUGUAUAAUGGGUCAGCGACUUAUAUUCUGUAGCAAGGUUAACCGAAUAGGGGAGCCGAAGGGAAACCGAGUCUUAACUGGGCGUUAAGUUGCAGGGUAUAGACCCGAAACCCGGUGAUCUAGCCAUGGGCAGGUUGAAGGUUGGGUAACACUAACUGGAGGACCGAACCGACUAAUGUUGAAAAAUUAGCGGAUGACUUGUGGCUGGGGGUGAAAGGCCAAUCAAACCGGGAGAUAGCUGGUUCUCCCCGAAAGCUAUUUAGGUAGCGCCUCGUGAAUUCAUCUCCGGGGGUAGAGCACUGUUUCGGCAAGGGGGUCAUCCCGACUUACCAACCCGAUGCAAACUGCGAAUACCGGAGAAUGUUAUCACGGGAGACACACGGCGGGUGCUAACGUCCGUCGUGAAGAGGGAAACAACCCAGACCGCCAGCUAAGGUCCCAAAGUCAUGGUUAAGUGGGAAACGAUGUGGGAAGGCCCAGACAGCCAGGAUGUUGGCUUAGAAGCAGCCAUCAUUUAAAGAAAGCGUAAUAGCUCACUGGUCGAGUCGGCCUGCGCGGAAGAUGUAACGGGGCUAAACCAUGCACCGAAGCUGCGGCAGCGACACUAUGUGUUGUUGGGUAGGGGAGCGUUCUGUAAGCCUGUGAAGGUGUGCUGUGAGGUAUGCUGGAGGUAUCAGAAGUGCGAAUGCUGACAUAAGUAACGAUAAAGCGGGUGAAAAGCCCGCUCGCCGGAAGACCAAGGGUUCCUGUCCAACGUUAAUCGGGGCAGGGUGAGUCGACCCCUAAGGCGAGGCCGAAAGGCGUAGUCGAUGGGAAACAGGUUAAUAUUCCUGUACUUGGUGUUACUGCGAAGGGGGGACGGAGAAGGCUAUGUUGGCCGGGCGACGGUUGUCCCGGUUUAAGCGUGUAGGCUGGUUUUCCAGGCAAAUCCGGAAAAUCAAGGCUGAGGCGUGAUGACGAGGCACUACGGUGCUGAAGCAACAAAUGCCCUGCUUCCAGGAAAAGCCUCUAAGCAUCAGGUAACAUCAAAUCGUACCCCAAACCGACACAGGUGGUCAGGUAGAGAAUACCAAGGCGCUUGAGAGAACUCGGGUGAAGGAACUAGGCAAAAUGGUGCCGUAACUUCGGGAGAAGGCACGC